AUUUCCCAACUCUUCUUCGUCGUCAAGUUCAUUAUUUUCCUUAAGAAAAUCAUCAAUUAACAUUGAUUUGCACAAGAGCAUCCUUUUGGUUUUCUUUGUUGCACUUUGUUGAUUUGUCAUUACCUCGUCAUCUUGAUUCUCCACCUUUUUUUGGGUCUGUUGUUUUGUUCUUGAAAUGUCAUUUUCUCCCGAUGUCUUUCUCAUUGAUGACUGAACGUCUUCCUUCUCCGCAUUUUUUUGGCUUUUUUAUUCUACAUACGUGAUUUUCUUUGAUUCAUAAUGGGACUUGGAUCUUGGUUUUGUCUUGAUCCUUGAUUGUUAGUCAUUGAUGCUUCAUUUGAAACUUUCUUGACAUUGUCAAACUUUUUUUUUUGUUGAACAGAGAUCCUUAUUUGAAGAUAUAUUUGUUUGACCAAUUGCUGCAAAAUUUGAUAACUUGAAUUGUGCUUGAUGUGCAAUCUUAAUUGAAGGAUGCUUGACUCCUUGAAUUUGCUUGUCUAACUUUGUAGUCUUGGAACUAACUAUUUUAUUAGUUGAUGGAUUGUUUUGCUUUCUAAUGUAUUCUUUGGUUCCAACCAUAUCUUCAUUAGUUACUCCAAUGCUUCACAUUAUCUUUUCACACUUGAUUUUGAAUCUCCUUAGUAAUUCAUUGCUUGAUUUUUCUUCAAGUAGCUCAAACUUGGAAGUAUUUCUUUCACCUUGGUCUUGAGCUUUCAUCUUUUGUUUUAACCUAGCUUCCUUCUCAUUGUCUGUAAAAAAAAAUUGAAAUAUCAGUAAGAGAACAAAUAAAGAAACAUUUUUAGUUAAUAUAUUAAUACCAAUGUAAUGUCCUGAGACUUAAAGUAUAAACAAAACAGUAAGAGGAAUAUAAAAAUAAGCCAAUAAUUUAUUUUUUUUUGAAAAUGACAAAUUAAAUAUACAGAUUAAUAGCUCUUCAUCGUCCAAAUCAUAAUCAUCUUUGUCUUCAAAUUCCUUCAUAACAUGUGCAGGCUUCUCACCUAUUGUUGUUGGAAUAUAUUCCCUAACCCAAUUGAGAUCGUGUUUAUUAUUUGAUGCAAUUAGAUUUCCAAUAUCAUAAAAGGGAUCAUCCAAAUAUUCUUCUUGAGUUGCAGCAUUUGAUUGAUCACCCAUAUUAAACAGAUCUGUAGGAACAGUUUUCAUAACAUAAUGUUUAUUCUCAUCGAAUAGAUCUUGCACAUAAAAAUAUUGGUGGACUUGAGAUACCAGGACAAAUGGAUUAUUUUGGUAACAUUUUUUGUCUUUUUUAGACUCAAACCAAUCACACUUAAACAACACAAAUUUGAGUUGGCUAUAAUAGUCUAACUCAAUUAUGUCAUUAAUUGCUUCAUAGUAAGUGACAAAAUCUGUUUUAGGAUUUUCAUCCUUAGAACUUGCAAAACUUUCAGUCAAAGAAGCCAAAGUUACACUAGAAUUUUGAGUUUUGUGUCUUGCAUCACGUUUCAUUGUGUGAAAUCUAUAACCAUUGAUGAGGUAACCUGAAAAUCUCUUUGCAACAGCAUUUGGACCUCUAGAUAAGGCUUUGAGGUGAACUGACACAUCAUUUUCCAAGGCUCGAAUUUUAAACCAUUCACUAAAAUCUUGACCUUGUCUUUUGGCCUUGAUCCACUUUCCUCCAUUAGUGUGACCACUAACACAUUCAUUGUACUCUCUACAGAGGUAACACUAUUAGUUGUUAAAAAUAACUCCAAGAUAUGUUUUGUUUAUAAGUAGGGAAUAAAAAAUAAACUAUUAUGGUACCUCAUGUAUGUUUGAAUAUCAUCCCAUUUGAACAAUAUGUAUCGAUGGGCUUGAGCUUUUAAUGUUGAGUCUAUUGAAAAUUAUUUACCAUUUUGUGUCCCUCCUAAAGGUUGGCCAAUAAUUGAAAAGUAAUGAUCUGAAUCUACUUCGCAAGAAUCAUUGUUAUCAUAGUUUCUACUUGUUCUAUUCAAUCUUGUAUAUAUACUUUUAUGCAAAUAUCUUAAGCAAAUAGUCAAAGCUUUUUCAGCCAAAUAUCCCUCAGCAAUAGAACCUUCUGGAUGAGUUCUAUUCCGAACAUAAUUUUUAAGUCUACAUAAGUUUCUUUAUAUGGGAUACAUCCAUCGGAAUUGAAUGGGAUCGCUCAAUCUACCUUCAUCUACUCAUUCUAUUCAAUCUUGUAUCUACACUUUUAUGCAAAUAUCUUGAGCAAAGAGUCAAAGCUUCUUCAACCAAAUAUCCCUCAACAAUAGAACCUUCUAGAUGAGUUCUAUUCCAAACAUAAUUUUUAAGUCUACAUAAGUUUCUUUAUGUGGGAUACAUCCAUCGGAAUUAAAUGGGAUCGCCCAAUCUACCUUCAUGUACUAGAUGAAUAGGCAAAUGAACCAUUACAUCAAAAAAACUUGGAGAAAAAGCCAUCUCCAAUUGACAAAGUAUUUCAGCAAUCUCUCCAUUUAGAUAAUCCAAAUCUUGCACUUAGAUAACUUUUUGACACAAAGAGCGGAAUAAUGACCCAAGACGAAUUAAAGGUCCAACCACUAGAUUUGUCAUUGUGCUCUUUAUUGCUACUUGUAAUAAGUAGUGUAACAUGAAAUGUGCAUCAUGCCUCUUGUAACCAAAUAUCUUUUUAUCGCCAACAUGCACACAUUUUGAAAUGUUAGAAGCACUCCCAUCGGAUAACUUGGCAGCCUUCAAAACACUGCAAAAAGUAUAAUUUUCUUGGGAAUUCAUUGAGAAAUAUGCCUUUGCAAACUUUGUCCAACCUCCGCCAAUCUCUAUUGGAUGAAGUUCCUUUCUAAUUUCCAUAUCUUGCAGAUCAUAACGACCAUUAACAUGAUCUUUUGUCUUUCCCGGUAUGUCCAAAAGAGUCCCAAUAACAUUAUCACAUAUGUUUUUCUCACUAUGCAUUACAUCAAGAUUAUGACGUAAAGUAUUUUGAGCCCAGUACGAAAACUCAAAAAAUAUUGACUUCUUCUUCCAUGGACCAUCAUUUUUUUUUCUUCUUAUUCUUCUUUCCAAAUUCAUUCUCAAAAUCUUUUAAGUUUUCUACGAUUUCUAUACCUUCUAACAUAUGUGGUGCAGACCUGUGUUCUUUCUUUCCAUUGAACGACAUUUUAUUUUCCCUCCAAGCAUGACUAGCCGGUAAAAAAACAUGAUUGUCCAUAUAACACAUUUUGUGACUGUGUCUGAAGUAGGUUGAAUUAGUGUUAUAAUUGCAACACGCACAUGUCAACUUUCCUUUAGUGCUCCAACCUAAGAACAUAGCAUGCCCAAGGUAAUCACUAAUAGUCCAUAGUAGAGAUGCCCACAAUCAUGUUUGAUCUUUUGAGGCAUCUUAUGUUUCUACUCUAUUUUCCCACAAUUCCUUUAGCUCAUCAAUCAACGGAAAGUCUCUGAAGUCUUGGAAUUAGUCUCUGAAGUCUUGGAAUUAGUGGAAAGUGUCUCAACACUUUUGCAGGAACUUUAUGAUCAUACUUUGGAUCCUCAAACUCUGAAUCUACUUGAGUAAAUUCCUUCCAUCGUGAAGCUUUAAAGUGCUGCAAGAAUCGUCAUUUUCGUGCUCUUUCCAAUACAACAUACAAUCAUUUGGACAUGCAUGAUUUUUUUUUAUAAUCAAGGCCUAAUCUUUUAUUAUGGCUAUUUUUUUUUGUUAAAAAAUUUGGGAAUGUUCAUAUUAGACAUGACUUCUUUCAACAACUCCAAAAGAGCAUUGAACGAUACAUUGCUCCACAUAUGAAGACACUCUAACAAGUAAAAGCAUUGUUCUAUUAGCUUUUAACUCAAUUUGACAAUAUGCUUUUGUUGUAAAUUACUGCCUAAGUUAAUAUGCUUUUAUCAAUCAUUUCAAUAUGCUUUUAUCUCAAUUUUUUGUAAAAGCAACCAUCAAAUUUUGUUUCUUCAGAAUCUCAACAUUUAAGAUCUACGAAAUGCAACAAAUUACCAACCUUCAAUUUAUAUUAUUGGUAUACAAAUAUUAUUUCAAUGUAAAAGUUAAUUAUCAAUCCUUUUGGGAUGCUCAGGAAUCUUAUAUAUGCCUCUCUACAUCUCUCUCUGUGAAAAAAACCUCUCUUUCUCAAAUGACAACCUUUUAUUUCUAUCCAUUUAGUUUGAAUUUUGUUAGAUGGCAGUUAGAUCAUUGGUAUUAACAAAAUUAGCACCUAAUCUGCAACAUUUUCCUUUAAUUUCUCUAACUUACUCUCAAGAGCUAGGGUAAAAAUAUAUUUUAUUGAAUCGAAUUAUGUUGACAAUACAUCAGAUUUAAUUUUAUUUCAUUUUUUUUUAAUAAUAUGUAAAAAUCAGAUUUUGGAGUAACUCUGUUAAUGCUUUUAUUUCGACCCAAAAAAUUUAUGACCAAAAAAGAAUUUAAAAAACAAAACACUUGUUGGGGUAUAUCAUUAGCCUAAUAUCAUCAUUAUUGUCAAGAACAAGCAACUAGAACUACAAAAAAAAUCACACCAAUAACUAAGGAAAACAUAAAUCAUAACAUAAAUCGUCAAAAAUGAAAGAACAAGCAAAAAUAUCUAUCAAAUCGUCAGAGGCGACGAGCAAGCAAUAAUAGAAACCAAAGAGGGAGAAGACGAAUACACAACACAACGCGAAAGGAAAAAGUGAUGGUACCGGAGCAACGACGUGAAGAGGAAAUAAUGAAGGUACUGGAGCAACAACUCGAGGACAACUGAAUUGAGACGAGAAAUUGAUGGAUUUAUGAUCGUGAGUGAAGAGGAAAGAAUGAAGGUAAAUUUAGGGUUUAUGGUAUUGGAGGAAUAUGAAAACGGUGUCGGAGGAAUUGGAAUA
rnacentral:lncRNA from 1 species